rnacentral:rRNA from 1 species
AAUACCGCAUGAGACCACAGAGUGACAUCAUUCAGGGGUCAAAGGAGCAAUCCGGUGAGGGGUGGGCUCGCGUCCGAUUAGAUAGUUGGUGAGGUAACGGCCCACCAAGUCGACGAUCGGUAGCCGACCUGAGAGGGUGAUCGGCCACAUUGGGACUGAGACACGGCCCAAACUCCUACGGGAGGCAGCAGUGGGGAAUAUUGGGCAAUGGGGGGAACCCUGACCCAGCAACGCCGCGUGAGGGAAGAAGGUUUUCGGAUCGUAAACCUCUGUCCUUGGUGAAGAGGAAGAGACGGUAGCCAAGGAGGAAGCCCCGGCUAACUACGUGCCAGCAGCCGCGGUAAUACGUAGGGGGCAAGCGUUGUCCGGAAUGAUUGGGCGUAAAGGGCGCGUAGGCGGCCCGGUAAGUCUGAAGUGAAAGUCCUGGUUUUAAGUUGGGAAUUGCUUUGGAUACUGUCGGGCUUGAGUGCAGGAGAGGUAAGUGGAAUUCCCAGUGUAGCGGUGAAAUGCGUAGAGAUUGGGAGGAACACCAGUGGCGAAGGCGACUUACUGGACUGUAACUGACGCUGAGGCGCGAAAG